CGGAUCAGUAAUAUUAUCAUCCAAGUUCUUGCAAUUAUCAUAUAAGGACCGGUACAGGAAAUUGAUGAUGACUAUUAUAGCAGAAUCUCCAGACCUAUUUUUUUUGGAAAUGGAAGUAUACCCCCGGCCUCUGCAUCAUGAUGAUGCAUGCAGCCCUUUUAUUAAAAAUGCAAGAAGUAUCAUCAUAAAGAUCUUACAGCUCAUAAACGGAGCAAAAACAUAGAAAAGGCCUAAAAAACAACCGAUACGGGGAUAAUAAGGACAAGCUCUCUAGCCCUCUAUCCUGUUAUGUGAACGUCAUUCGAACCGGUUGAAUAUAGCCCGAGCCACCAUCUUCCAUUGGUUGCACCCAGUAACCAAAGGCUCCCUGGAGUCCAUAGGAGUGAGUAAGGAUCACGUACGGAUCUAAGCUGUAGCUCUGAAGAUAACCUGCAAAAAAGUUAAGUUGUGUUGUCUGUUAAAAAUCAUAUCGUUUCUGCAGUUCCAUAUAGCCCAUAGCAGCGCACAUAUUCCAAUCCGAAUACGAACCGCCGUGAUCUGUUCAACCCCAGCCAACCACGUCCCAAACAAAGACGCAAUAUCUACUGGGGGAUUAAUAUUAAAAGCUAUAUGAAUCGUUCUCCACAGUAAUUUGGCAAGUGGGCAUUCAAGGAAUAAAUGUUGUAUUGUCUUAUCUUGAGCACAAAAACAACACCGUGAGUUGCCUAUCCAUCGCCUUUUAAUUAAGUUAUCCUUUGUGAGUAUAACUUGCUUGUGGACAAACCACAUGAAAAUUUUAAUCCGCAAAGGAACCUUAACCUUUCAUAUAUGAAGUGACCUUGAGAGAGGGCCAGAAUUAAUCAAAUCCGUAUAAAAGGAUUUCACCGUAAAUAUCCCAUUUUUAGUUAACUUCCAUUGUGUAGAAUCCGGCACGUCGGAGAGUCGAACUUCAAUCAAUCUCUGGACCAAGUGCAUCCAGGCUGUCCAUCUCGCACCUACUAACGUAUGUCUGAACUGGAUAUUCAAGGGAAUAGUUUGAAGGACGAUACCUACGUAAUCUUCCUUACGUUGCACAAUAUUGUAAAGGGUAGGAUAUUGUAAGGCCAAGGGUGUCUCUCCUAACCAUGUAUCCUCCCAAAAUCUCGUUGACAUCCCGUUGUCAACCAAGAAUUUGACCCUACGAAAGAACAGAUCCUUCGUUCGCAUAAGUCCCUUCCAGAACGGUGAAUCAGUUGGUCUGAUGGUAGUCUGGGCUAGCGUUUUCGAGUGCAAAUACUUAUUGCGCAGGAUUUGAGACCACAUGCCCUCCGGCUCUGUCCCUAACCUGUACAACCAUUUGCUCAUAAGACAUUUAUUCUUAAUUUCCAAGCUCUCAAUACCGAGACCCCCUUGGUCUUUAGGUCGACAAAGGAUAUCCCAACGCGCGAGACGGUAUUUUCUCUUGGCCUCAUCAGACUGCCAAAAGAAUCGAGAUCUAAAGAAAUCAAGUCGCUUUUGGACCCCUUUCGGAAUUUCGAAGAACGAGAAUAAAAACAUUGGCAUGCUAGUUAGUACUGAGUUGAUCAGAACUAAUCGGCCCCCAUAUGACAUCAACUUGCCCUUCCAGCAGCUGAGUUUUUUUUCGAUUCGUUCUUCAGUUACUUUCCAUUCUUUAUUAGAUAAUUUACGAUGAUGAAUCGGAAUACCCAAGUAACUGAAUGGUAAGGCACCUAACUCGCAUCCAAACAAUUGUCUGUAAGUGUGUUCCUCGUCUUUUGCCUUCCCAAAACAGAACACCUCGCUCUUAUGGAAAUUGAUCUUUAAGCCAAACAAUUGUUCGAAUAGACAUAAGAUAAGUUUCAUAUUACGUGCCUUAGCCAUGCCAUGUUCCAUGAAAAGGAUAGUCAUCAGCAUAUUAUAGAAUGGACACCCCUUCAUCAACCAGAUGAGGAACUAGACCAUAUACAUGCCCAUGUUGCUUGGCCCUGCCAAUAAUGACGGCCAAUAUAUCUGCCACAAUAUUGAACAGAAGGGGUGACAUGGAAUCCCCUUGUCUCAGCCCCUUAUGCGUCUGGAAAUAGUGACCAAUGUCAUCGUUCACCUUAAUUCCGACACUACCCUUCUGGACUUGAGUAUCCACCUGGUGCCUCCAGGUUUCACUAAAACUCUUCAUGCGCAUUGCCUGCUGAAGAAAAGGCCAUUUUACUUUAUCAUAAGGCUUCUCGAAAUCCACUUUUAAGAUAACCUCGUCUAGUUUCUUCGAGUGAAUCUCAUGAAGAGUUUCAUGUAAGACAACUACUCCUUCGAGUAUGUGUCGUCCUGGCAUGAAAGCUGUCUGACUAGGUUGAAUCACUGAGUGAGCAAUUUGUGUCAAUCUAUUGGUUCCAACCUUUGUGAAGAUUUUGAAACUCACAUUCAGCAGGCAAAUGGGUCGAAAUUGUUCUAUCCGGACCGCCUCCUUCUUCUUCGGCAAUAACGUUAUCGUACCAAAAUUUAGAUGAAACAACUCCAAAUGGCCUUCGAAAAAAUCAUGAAACAUAGGCAAGAUCAUCUCCAGACCUAUUGAUGAUGAUUAUUUGUUAUUUUGGUCUAUAGGCCCUUACAAGCUUAAUUUUAUGGCACAGAAACUGCAGGAUUACUACAAAACAAGCAAGCAAAGGGUCAGUAUCACUAUCAGCUCGUCUUUUCUCUGAAGUACCACUAUAACUAUUUGACCAUUCCAGUAGCACUGAAUUUGUCUCUCUCCAAGGAUUGUCUAUCAGGAUUUAUAUUGAAUUUCCCUGUGCACACAAGAAUACUUGGGUUUGGUUAUGAAAUACAUGCACAUUCAGAAGACAAGGGUUUGUGCAAGAUUUUGUUACCCCAACCGGUGCGAACUGAUCCGAAAAUGAACUAUUACCUACGCAUGGUUAAAAAUACGGAAACGACGGGGCGCUGAUGAACACUUACAUGGAAAACACAGGGAUGCAUGAAUGAACCUUUGCAUCUGAACAGUCUUCAGAGAUGGUAUGUAUGUGACGUGACCUAAAAUGGACUUGAGAGACAUCACAACACACUGCACAGAGCAGGCAGGAAGCUGACAGUAGCAAAUGAGGAAUACAU
rnacentral:lncRNA from 1 species